UCCACAGGUGUCUUUAUGGAUUUUCAUUAC
rnacentral:piRNA from 1 species